AUCGCAUCCAAUUGGAUUGUAUUUCUAAUUGGCGUGCCACUUAGCUAUUUUGUUUCUCUUGGAAAAUGUUUAUCAUAGUGUUGUUGCUUGGUUGGCCCACAGUUUUUGGCACUUAUGCCUGCAACGAAUGUUUUUGCUUUAAAGAAUUGGAAAAAUCAAACCCUGUCGAUUGUCAAAGCUAUGAUGGAAAUGUGAAAAAGUUCUACUAUGGAAAUGCUGCCUGCGAAGCGCUACAACCUGGCGACAAUUGUUAUCCGAAGGUGUUUACAAGUCUAGCUGCUUGCAAAGCGGCAUGUAAACGUUUUUUUUACUAUGCGCAGGAAUGGAAAAAGUUGCCAAUCAUUGAUUAAAAUAAAAAAGUUAAAUAUUGAAAAAAGAAAAA